rnacentral:rRNA from 1 species
AUUGAACGCUGGCGGCAUGCCUUACACAUGCAAGUCGAACGGCAGCGCGGACUUCGGUCUGGCGGCGAGUGGCGAACGGGUGAGUAAUACAUCGGAACGUACCCUGUUGUGGGGGAUAACUAGUCGAAAGAUUAGCUAAUACCGCAUACGACCUGAGGGUGAAAGUGGGGGACCGGAAACGGCCUCAUGCAGCAGGAGCGGCCGAUGUCUGAUUAGCUAGUUGGUGGGGUAAAGGCCCACCAAGGCGACGAUCAGUAGCUGGUCUGAGAGGACGAUCAGCCACACUGGGACUGAGACACGGCCCAGACUCCUACGGGAGGCAGCAGUGGGGAAUUUUGGACAAUGGGGGCAACCCUGAUCCAGCAAUGCCGCGUGUGUGAAGAAGGCCUUCGGGUUGUAAAGCACUUUUGUCCGGAAAGAAAUCGCGCUGGUUAAGACCUGGCGUGGAUGACGGUACCGGAAGAAUAAGCACCGGCUAACUACGU